CGGACGGGUGAGUAAUGUCUGGGAAACUGCCCGAUGGAGGGGGGUAACUACUGGAAACGGUAGCUAAUACCGCAUAACGUCACAAGACCAAAGAGGGGGACCUUCGGGCCUCUUGCCAUCGGAUGUGCCCAGAUGGGAUUAGCUAGUAGGUGGGGUAACGGCUCACCUAGGCGACGAUCCCUAGCUGGUCUGAGAGGAUGACCAGCCACACUGGAACUGAGACACGGUCCAG
rnacentral:rRNA from 1 species